CAGGUGGGUCAGAGCCAAAGGGAUCUGGGAGGGUCCUGGGUUCAGAUCCUGCCCUGAGAUCCCAGCUCUGGGUGUGACCUGGGGGAGGCACAUUCGCUCCUCCACCUCCCCAGCUAGGACAUCGGGUGACAAAACCAGAGCCCAACGGCAACCCCGGCAGUCGUGUGUCAGACGAGGUGCAAACGGACAAAGGGCACCUGGCACAGACCUGCUGGAGAUGCCUGUUGUGCUGUAGCCUUGGGAUAACCUUUGCCUUCCUCCCAUGGAGCCCAGCUGAGGUUCUCCCAGUGGCCCUGGAGACAGGGCUCCCUCCCCUCCUGCCUGAGAUCUCUGGUGCGGUGCCAGCUCUCUGCCGCAGGGCCUGGUGGAAGUGUGAGGAGUCUUGGUUGGGUCUCACACAGCCCUGAUCACAUCUCCCUUCCCUUGUGUCUUCCAGAUGAAUUUGCCAUUGCUGAGUACAGCGCCCCCUGCAGCAAAGCCAAUGUUGAGCAGGAAAAUGCGUGAGUGAUGGAGCUGUAUUCUGGGCCCUGCUGAAUCCUCUCUGCUCAUCUCUGCAUGCAGCAAUUCCCCCAGGCGAAGUGGUUUGAUAUAGUGGUGAGGAAAACCCCUCAGCACCAUAUAAUUAAUGUUAUAAAUAAAUUGUCAUGAUUCUGA